GUCCCCAUCGUCUAGAGGCCUAGGACACUGCCCUUUCACGGCUGUUAACAGGGGUUCGAAUCCCAGCUUGGGGACGCCA
rnacentral:tRNA from 1 species